UACGAAGGGGGCUAGCGUUGUUCGGAAUUACUGGGCGUAAAGCGCACGUAGGCGGACAUUUAAGUUGGAGGUGAAAGCCUUGGGCUCAACCCAAGAAUUGCCUUUGAUACUGGAUGUCUCGAGACCGGGAGGGGUGAGUGGAAUUCCGAGUGUAGAGGUGAAAUUCGUAGAUAUUCGGAAGAACACCAGUGGCGAAGGCGGCUCACUGGCCCGGUUCUGACGCUGAGGUGCGAAAGCGUGGGGAGCAAACAGG
rnacentral:rRNA from 1 species